rnacentral:rRNA from 1 species
AGCGAACGCUGGCGGCAGGCUUAACACAUGCAAGUCGAACGCCCCGCAAGGGUAGUGGCAGACGGGUGAGUAACACGUGGGAACGUACCCUUUGGUUCGGAAUAACUUGGGGAAACUCAAGCUAAUACCGGAUAAGCCCUUAUGGGGAAAGGUUUACUGCCGAAGGAUCGGCCCGCGCCUGAUUAGCUAGUUGGUGAGGUAAUGGCUCACCAAGGCGACGAUCAGUAGCUGGUCUGAGAGGAUGAUCAGCCACACUGGGACUGAGACACGGCCCAGACUCCUACGGGAGGCAGCAGUGGGGAAUAUUGGACAAUGGGGGCAACCCUGAUCCAGCCAUGCCGCGUGAGUGAUGAAGGCCUUAGGGUUGUAAAGCUCUUUUACCCGGGACGAUAAUGACUGUACCGGGAGAAUAAGCCCCGGCUAACUUCGUGCCAGCCGCUGCGGUAA